UGAGGAAAUGCAGCCUUCAUCUAGAUUUCCACAGACCAGGAUGUGAGGCAGAUCACAAGUGGAGACUGUUAUCGGCACUGCAUGUGAGAAAGGGCCUGGGAAGAAUUCCUUUUCUUGUAUCUUGGGACAGGACUGGAUGAUCAAGGAUCACUAUGCAUUUGAGGAAAGCCUCUAAAGUGAUAAUGUUACGGAACCCAGGAACUGAAAGUGGAGUCCAGCUGCUUGCCACCCAAAAAUCAAAAGAGACAAACUAAAGCUGGUCGGUAAGAGGCUUUCUUGGGGGCGCUUUGUUCUUCUUCCCAGAAGAAGUUCCACCACCUGCUGUAAGGUCGUGUCCACAGAAUGAGGUGGAGUCUUCAGGACUUUCCUAUCCCUCUCCCACCAUCACUAGAGAACUAGGACCACCAGAUCUCCUGGGAAUCUAAGCUAUGAAAUAAGUGGAAGCUUUCCAAAGCUUUGAAAGUGACUCAUUUGGUAUCUUUGUACUGAAAGUCUGAAAUUGUGUUUUCUCACUAAACUUCUCACUGUUUUUCCCUUUAUUUAACUGUUUAUAAUCGAGCAUUAAAAGCAGAAGC